rnacentral:rRNA from 2 species
UGUCGUCAGCUCGUGUUGUGAAAUGUUGGGUUAAGUCCCGCAACGAGCGCAACCCUUAUCCUUUGUUGCCAGCGGUCCGGCCGGGAACUCAAAGGAGACUGCCAGUGAUAAACUGGAGGAAGGUGGGGAUGACGUCAAGUCAUCAUGGCCCUUACGACCAGGGCUACACACGUGCUACAAUGGCGCAUACAAAGAGAAGCGACCUCGCGAGAGCAAGCGGACCUCAUAAAGUGCGUCGUAGUCCGGAUUGGAGUCUGCAACUCGACUCCAUGAAGUCGGAAUCGCUAGUAAUCGUGGAUCAGAAUGCCACGGUGAAUACGUUCCCGGGCCUUGUACACACCGCCCGUCACACCAUGGGAGUGGGUUGCAAAAGAAGUAGGUAGCUUAACCUUCGGGAGGGCGCUUACCACUUUGUGAUUCAUGACUGGGGUGAAGUCGUAACAAGGUAACCGUAGGGGAACCUGCGGUUGGAUCACCUCCUUACCU